rnacentral:tRNA from 1 species
GGGAAGGUAGCUCAGUGGUAGAGUGCUUGCCUUGCAUGCAUGAGGCCCUGGGUUUGAUUCCUCACCACCACA